UACGUAGGGGGCAAGCGUUGUCCGGAAUUAUUGGGCGUAAAGAGCGUGUAGGCGGUCCGGUAAGUCAGCUGUGAAAGUCAAGGGCUCAACCCUUGAAUGCCGGUUGAUACUGUCGGGCUAGAGUCCGGAAGAGGCGAGUGGAAUUCCCGGUGUAGCGGUGAAAUGCGCAGAUAUCGGGAGGAACACCAAUGGCGAAGGCAGCUCGCUGGGACGGUACUGACGCUGAGACGCGAAAGCGUGGGGAGCAAACCGG
rnacentral:rRNA from 1 species